GUCACGAUCGGUAGGUUGAAAGCCAGAUUUGAUCUGGUGCACGCAGGUUCGAUUCCUGCUCGUGACA
rnacentral:tRNA from 1 species